UAAAAGUCGUAACAAGGUUUCCGUAGGUGAACCUGCGGAAGGAUCAUUAUCGAAUCGUAGGCGAGGGUUGUCGCUGGCCUCUCGGGGCAUGUGCACGCCCGAGCCCUUGAAUCCCAAACACCACAUGUGAACCCACCGUAGGCCUUCGGGCCUAUGUCUUAUCAUAUAAUCUGAAUGUCUAAUAGAAUGUAAACCCAUUUCGUUGCCUUGAAAACGUAACGAAAGAAAACUAUACAACUUUCAACAACGGAUCUCUUGGCUCUCGCAUCGAUGAAGAACGCAGCGAAAUGCGAUAAGUAAUGUGAAUUGCAGAUUUUCAGUGAAUCAUCGAAUCUUUGAACGCACCUUGCGCCCCUUGGUAUUCCGAGGGGCAUGCCUGUUUGAGUGUCAUUAAAUCCUCAACCCCUCCGAUUCGUUUCGGUGGGGAUUGGACUUGGAGCGUGCUGGCGAAGGUCGGCUCCUCUUUAAAUGCAUCAGCGGAGAAAAUGCCUUUUGCGCCUCUGGCCGUUCAGCGUGAUAAUGAUGUUGCGCUGCGGUCGAGCUUAAGGUCCGCUUCCAAAGGUCCUCGGACAAAUAUACAUAUGACUUUUGACCUCAAAUC
rnacentral:rRNA from 1 species